GAAGGCAGCAAGAUAUCAUGAAGGCCUUUAGGACCGCUUAAAGCACGGCUUGGGCAUUUGCAAGCCGGCUCAUAGCUCUUUAGUGCUCUGCGUUGUACCUGUAGCAGCCUCGGUUCCAAUCCCGCUCGAAGCAGGGUCUCCUGAGGUGGUGGCGAGUGCUAGAUUUAAACCUGCGCGAGCUGCCCCAUUUGCCUGCGGCACGAGAGCACGGUUUCCCGCGAUUCCAGAGCUCUGCGCUGAGAAAAAGGGAACCUCCGCCGUGCAUGCUGAAGUCUCGGUCGUCUUGAGAUGCUUGACUGCCCUACGUCUGGAAGGAGGCCGACAGCCUGUUGUCAGAAGCAGGACCUGAGGUGAUUUCAGCAAGGCAGGACCGGUGUCUCCUGAAAUUGGGUGCGGUCUCUACAGGAGACUAGUGCUCACCGCUCCUAGCUUGUAUACUUACGGACAGCCUUCUACUCGCACCGGACUCAAAAGAGACAUAGGGGGAGAGAACCUCAGUUAUCGCCCAGAUCUUCUGGAGUAAGUUAGACACACCAGUCCAGCCUCCUGAACCGUCACUGGGUCCUGACCACCUAUUUGGGGGAGAGAACUGGUAUUCAUCUCAAAGUCUGGAAGAAAAGGUCUGGGAGGCACCAAACAAUGGGUGGGCAAAGAGAAUGUGUCAGCAAGUGAAAAUCAACUUUCCAUGGGUCCACGGCAGAUAUGGACCAGAGACCAGAAACAACAUGAAUCUCUGAUGUUUUUCUACAGAGUUCUGUUAUCAACUUGUAAAGAGCCGACUUCAGAAUUAGACUUUUCCAAAUCCUAUAUUUGGAUUUGGCCAUGAAGCCAAAACUUCACAGCAUUGCCGGACAUUAAAUCUCCUAGGCAAGCCUUU